UCUCAGCGUCCUCUCCAGUGGAGGACAUGAGCCCUCCCAGGGUCGUGGGAGAGCCAGCGCAGAGGGGAAGGCACCUUGUACGCCGUGAAGCGGGGAUGCAGUUGUUACCCUAACCAGAAGGGCACCCCGUCACAAAUACUGGCGCGCGCGCGUGCGCCACCUGCUUCCCUGCAGAGGGCGCCGCGGGCCAGCCUCGUCGAGCGCGGGGUGGGAUACCGGUAGCCCAGGACAGCCCGCGGAGCAGGCCCGGGCUGCCGCGGACCCCUCUUGCAGAAAAGCCUUUGAUGCUGUAUUCUUAGCACAUGGAACCCUAAACCAAAGCCUGCACUGGGGUGUUUGUGAGAAGCAUGUGUGCAAAGCCUGAGAGACUACCCUGUUGGGUGUGCUGCUGGGCAGGGGUGUUCUGGUUUGACCUUGUACACUUGGCAGUUUUGGAGUUUGCCCACCAGAUAUGUCAUCCAAGAAGACCAAAAGUACAGCAGGAUGAUUGUGAACAAGACCAGGGACCUCAGCUCUUGAAAAAAAAAAAAGGUUGAAACUAUGUACAUU